ensembl:lncRNA
GUGUUUUUUACUCCCCAUCAUCUCUACCUCCAGGGUGUGUAGAGCCUCUGUUUGGUUUUCCAACUGGCAGUGUAGAAGAAGCAUCCACUGCUUGUUAUUCUGGAGAAAAACUUCAAGCUAUAACUAAAGAGCACUCAGAAAAGUCAUAAAAAUAAUAUACAUUCAAAGACAUUUUUUUUUCUUGGCAAGGAAACCUAUUUCAGAGCUACUGGAUGUUUCAGGCCUUGAAAAAGCUGCUUCAUGUGAUGCCUGGUGCUGUAGAGUUCAUUGAUGUUCAAUUGUGGCAUCAGAGAGAACAUUUAUUUAGUGUUGCUGAGAAAACCAUUGGCUGUGAGUUGUGAAAGGAGAGGUGGAUACAGUGCCUGGCAGCUUUGUUCCAGGUAAAAAGGCUGGCAGUGGGAAAACUUUCUCAGUCAUAAGGUUGUCCUUUCCAACCUGACUAAUACAGGAUUUAUGAGUCAUGCCAAAAUUUUGUUGCCCUAAAGAUGCUACCAUAAAGCCUCAAAACUUUUCCAAGGUAUUACAUAAAUGUGAGAUUAUCCACUGCUGCCUCAUGUGAAGUUUACAGCCAGAUUUCAUAACAGGACUGGUUUGGAUUUUCCUAGGACUUCAUUAGCAUUAUUGUUCCUUCAAGUGGUAUUAGGUUAUGUGCAUCAGUGAAUUUAAAUCAAUUUAUCAGUGAUGCACCCCAUCCCCAACGUUCAAAUCCCAUUAUGUUUUCAGGGAAAUUAAUAUAGUUUUUUUCUUCAGGUUUGUUGCUUUGAUCCUUUAUUUUUAAAAAAACCUAAAUGUAAAAGAAGGCAGAGAUGGUUAGAAGGUUGAUGAAUAAAAUUUUUCUGGAGAUAUCUGAAGUUAAUCAGAGGAAAUCUUCACACAGUGGUUGUUUGGGUCUUGGCCUUCAGAAUUUCCACAAUCACUGAAUGGAUUCCUGAGGCAAGGAAGGCUUGACCCAUUCCCCAACCCCCAAACCUCGUCACAGGACCUGUUCAGUCUGUAAUGUCAGAAGGAUGUACUGACAGAAACAUUAAUUUGCUUUUUUCCCUAUGCUAUCCAUAAAAAAAUGUGAGUGAUAUCCAUGAGGCUGGUGCAGGACAGGCAGGGGCUGUGCAAGGACCUCAGUGAUGCUGGAACUGAGGAAGAAAUGAGCUCUGACCUUCACACUUUGGUGUGUUUAUCUCUAAAUAUUUCUGGUAGGGGCUUAGAAAAACCUUGUCAUGAACAGAAUUAAAACAGGAAGUCGUUAUCCCUGGUUCAAAGCUUCAGCACUUAGAAAUCUCUCCAAGUGCCUGAUUUCUUUGGAAAUUUUGGGUGCUUUGCUCUGCACAGGUGACAACCCCUCCCUUCCCUCAAAUUGUCCCCAAAGAUUAGGAGUAAAGCACAGUUUGUGCAAGAUAAAGGCUCAGAAAUCCAGAAUUAGGUUGGAAGGGAUAGGGAAGCAAACUCCAGCAAGGUGGAAAAAUGAAAGUCCUGCCUCCAGCCUCUCAUGUUUUCCUGCUUACCUGGGGUAAGGGCACUGAGAGCUCCCUGCAGCUCCUGCCCUGUGGGCUGGGAUCUGCCUCAGAUGCCUCUUUGGACUAAAACCUUGUAGCUGCAAUAAAUAUAAACCAAUUAAUGCAAUAACUUGCCAAUAUGGAGAAGUGCCCACCAGGGAAGCUGCCUGUGACCCCAGCAGUGUUUUAUCAGCCAUUCUGGAGAGGUUGGUCUUUCCUGCACUGCCUCAAUCCUUUCUCUCACCAAGCUCCAGAAGGUGCAACCUGAUUUUAAUGAAGGUUUAAACAGAAAGCAUGUUCAUCUUGGAGAAAAUGGGGGAAGAAAUGGCUGUAUCACUUUAAGGAUGUAAAAAUGAAAAGGCUGUUCAUUUCUUUCGUAUUUUUCCUAGCCUGUAAUUAUUCCUAAUCAAACUACAACAAACAGUAAACACUAAAAAUGAAAUAAACGCAGUGACAGUUUGCCAAUAACGAGCAGAAAAUGUUCCAUCUGUCUAGCAGUGAGUAAAAUGUGUGUAAUUACUGCUCAUUUUUCUUCUAAUUGCUGAGUUAUUAGUUUAAAGCUUACGCACAACUGGUGAACAGUGCCGACUACCCAUUCUCUAAUUACAGCCCCUGCUUUGCUGUGCUUGAAAUCAAGAAAAGCCAAAAGCAGAAAAUUUGCAUUUUAAAAGAGUUGUCUGAAUUAACCCCUCUGGUAAGAGCAUCUUUUCAGUUUUGGCAUCGCAGGUCAGCCCCUUGCCUGACAGAUUCAGUGUCUACUUCUAUCAGCUGGAGAUUCCUGUCUCAGUGGGAUUAUCAUCUCUUUUUUUUUUUCCCUUAUUUUUUUCUGAGCCUACAUUAUAAUUUCUAAUUUAAAGAAGGUUAACGAAUGCUCUGAAGUGGGUGGUAGGUCAAGGGAAGUAAUUCCUGUGAGGAAGCAAAGGGAACAAUUUCUACCUAAGAUCUGACCUAACCCUACUGAGUGUGAAGCCAUUCCCUGUGUCCUGUCCCUCCACGCCCUGGAAAUUGUCUCUCUCCAGGUUUCCUGGGGCUCCUCCAGGCCCUGCAAGGCCACCCUGAGCUCAGCCCAAAGCUUCUCCUGUGCAGGGGAACAAUCCCAGCUGUGCCAGCCUUUCCUCCCAGCAGAGCUGCUCCAUCCCUCUGCUCAUCCUGGAGCCUCCUCUGGGCUCUCUGCAGCAGCUCCAGCUCCUCCUGGGCUGGGACAGGGCUGGGGCAGGGCACAGGGGCAGAAUUUCCCCCUCAUCUGCAGCCCAGGCUGUGGGAUCAGUCCAGCACAAGGGGGUUUCUGUGUCCCAGCACCCAUGGACAGGACAUAUCCAGCCUCUCAUCCACCAGGUGAUCCCAGGUGGGUUGAUUUGCUUUGUGGGCAGUUCAGUGUGAGAGGUGAACAACUGAGAACAGACCCAGUUUGGUCAUUUUCAAAAGCCUGGUGAUACUGUUAUGUUGGAACUCAAAAUGUCCCUCAGACAUUUUUGGAUGUUCUGGGUCCAGGUCAGAAGCAUUUGAGACCCUGGCAGGCAGCUGGAAACAGCUGUGAUUUUGGGUUUGAGCCAUGGAAUGAUUUACCAACCUUGCAGGAAGAACAAGAAGUCACAAAAGUUUAGAUGUUAUAGUAGAAGUAGUCACAAAGUAAAGGGAAGAAUUUUUGAGUGCUGUACAGGGGGGUUUUGGUUUUGUACAUGGGGGUCAGA